ACGAUCGCAAAUAGAGCCCGGAGGAUUAUUUUCACAAGUACUUUUUAACAUCGCGGUACUAUUGGUUGUAUUUUGUGAAUAGAAUAUUACCAGAAAAUUGAGAAAGAGCCAGCUUAUUGAUUUUACUGUACUGAAAUCGUAGCCAGCUAACGUUCGCUAGGCUAUGUUUACUGCACCAGCCGCUGUUCACCCUGCAAGGAGAGUGGGGUGCUGUGAGCUGCGUGAUCCGCCGAGCUUUAAAAAGCUGAGAUGUCAACAGGAACAGACGAUGUUUUCCUUCGUAGGGAGGACAUUGAGGAGAUUCGGUUUGGAAUCGACAACUAUCAGUCUGACUCGUUGUCACUGGUUGUGUCUGUGUUUUUAAAGAUAAGGCUCCACCAUGUUGCCAAACUCACCUCUCUUGAACUACAGAAAGGGAGCACGGGAAAGAAGCUCUGGACAGGGGUGUGUGUGUGUGUGUGUGUGUGCGCGUGCGUGCGUGCGUGCGCGCGCGUGUGAGUGUGUGGGGGGGUUUACAAAUCAUUUUAAAUUGUUUCUUCACCAUAUUAAAAAGUCUUAUUUUAUUGCAACUAUCUGUUUCUGCAUCUUUGUCAUAUUUAUAGUGUGUGAUUUAUAAAAUAUCUUAUGUCCUACACCA